rnacentral:rRNA from 1 species
AGAUUAAGUUAUUAAGGGCGCACGGUGGAUGCCUUGGCACUAGAAGCCGACGAAGGACGUUACUAACGACGAUAUGCUUUGGGGAGCUGUAAGUAAGCUUUGAUCCAGAG